AGCGAACGCUGGCGGCAGGCCUAACACAUGCAAGUCGAACGAAGUCUUCGGACUUAGUGGCGGACGGGUGAGUAACACGUGGGAACGUACCUUUUGGUUCGGAACAACUCAGGGAAACUUGAGCUAAUACCGGAUGAGCCCUUAGGGGGAAAGAUUUAUCGCCGAAAGAGCGGCCCGCGUUAGAUUAGCUAGUUGGUGAGGUAAAGGCUCACCAAGGCUACGAUCUAUAGCUGGUCUGAGAGGAUGAUCAGCCACACUGGGACUGAGACACGGCCCAGACUCCUACGGGAGGCAGCAGUGGGGAAUCUUGCGCAAUGGGCGAAAGCCUGACGCAGCCAUGCCGAGUGAAUGAUGAAGGUCUUAGGAUUGUAAAAUUCUUUUACCAGGGACGUUAAUGACGGUACCUGGAGAAAAAGCCCCGGCUAACUUCGUGCCAGCCGCCGCGGUAAGAC
rnacentral:rRNA from 1 species